GAUGAACGCUGGCGGCGUGCCUAAUACAUGCAAGUCGAGCGAACGGACGAGAAGCUUGCUUCUCUGAUGUUAGCGGCGGACGGGUGAGUAACACGUGGAUAACCUACCUAUAAGACUGGGAUAACUUCGGGAAACCGGAGCUAAUACCGGAUAAUAUUUUGAACCGCAUGGUUCAAAAGUGAAAGACGGUCUUGCUGUCACUUAUAGAUGGAUCCGCGCUGCAUUAGCUAGUUGGUAAGGUAACGGCUUACCAAGGCAACGAUGCAUAGCCGACCUGAGAGGGUGAUCGGCCACACUGGAACUGAGACACGGUCCAGACUCCUACGGGAGGCAGCAGUAGGGAAUCUUCCGCAAUGGGCGAAAGCCUGACGGAGCAACGCCGCGUGAGUGAUGAAGGUCUUCGGAUCGUAAAACUCUGUUAUUAGGGAAGAACAUAUGUGUAAGUAACUGUGCACAUCUUGACGGUACCUAAUCAGAAAGCCACGGCUAACUACGUGCCAGCAGCCGCGGUAAUACGUAGGUGGCAAGCGUUAUCCGGAAUUAUUGGGCGUAAAGCGCGCGUAGCGGUUUUUUAAGUCUGAUGUGAAAGCCCACGGCUCAACCGUGGAGGGUCAUUGGAAACUGGAAAACUUGAGUGCAGAAGAGGAAAGUGGAAUUCCAUGUGUAGCGGUGAAAUGCGCAGAGAUAUGGAGGAACACCAGUGGCGAAGGCGACUUUCUGGUCUGUAACUGACGCUGAUGUGCGAAAGCGUGGGGAUCGAACAGGAUUAGAUACCCUGGUAGUCCACGCCGUAAACGAUGAGUGCUAAGUGUUAGGGGGUUUCCGCCCCUUAGUGCUGCAGCUAACGCAUUAAGCACUCCGCCUGGGGAGUACGACCGCAAGGUUGAAACUCAAAGGAAUUGACGGGGACCCGCACAAGCGGUGGAGCAUGUGGUUUAAUUCGAAGCAACGCGAAGAACCUUACCAAAUCUUGACAUCCUUUGACAACUCUAGAGAUAGAGCUUUCCCCUUCGGGGGACAAAGUGACAGGUGGUGCAUGGUUGUCGUCAGCUCGUGUCGUGAGAUGUUGGGUUAAGUCCCGCAACGAGCGCAACCCUUAAGCUUAGUUGCCAUCAUUAAGUUGGGCACUCUAAGUUGACUGCCGGUGACAAACCGGAGGAAGGUGGGGAUGACGUCAAAUCAUCAUGCCCCUUAUGAUUUGGGCUACACACGUGCUACAAUGGACAAUACAAAGGGCAGCGAAACCGCGAGGUCAAGCAAAUCCCAUAAAGUUGUUCUCAGUUCGGAUUGUAGUCUGCAACUCGACUACAUGAAGCUGGAAUCGCUAGUAAUCGUAGAUCAGCAUGCUACGGUGAAUACGUUCCCGGGUCU
rnacentral:rRNA from 1 species